rnacentral:rRNA from 1 species
GACGAACGCUGGCGGCGUGCCUAAUACAUGCAAGUCGAGCGAAGUUUUUCUGGUGCUUGCACUAGAAAAACUUAGCGGCGAACGGGUGAGUAACACGUAAAGAACCUGCCUCAUAGACUGGGACAACUAUUGGAAACGAUAGCUAAUACCGGAUAACAGUAUUUCUCGCAUGAGAGAUAUUUAAAAGUUGGUUAUGCUAACACUAUGAGAUGGCUUUGCGGUGCAUUAGCUAGUUGGUGGGGUCAAGGCCCACCAAGGCGACGCUGCAUAGCCGACCUGAGAGGGGGAUCGGCCCCACUGGGACUGAGACACGGCCCAGACUCCUACGGGAGGCAGCAGUAGGGAAUCUUCCGCAAUGGGCGAAAGCCUGACGGAGCAACGCCGCGUGAGUGAAGAAGGAUUUCGGUUCGUAAAGCUCUGUUGUUAGGGAAGAAUGGAUAUGUAGUAACUAUACAUGUAAGAGACGGUACCUAACCAGAAAGCCACGGCUAACUACGU